ACAUAGGUCGCAAGCGUUAUCCGGAAUUAUUGGGCGUAAAGAGUUUGUAGGUUGUCUAUUAAGUCUGAAGUCAAAGCCCGGGGCUCAACCCCGGUUCGCUUUAGAUACUGGUAGACUAGAAUUGCAAAGAGGUUAGUGGAAUUCCUAGUGAAGCGGUGGAAUGCGUAGAUAUUAGGAAGAACACCAAUGGCGAAGGCAGCUAACUGGUUGCAUAUUGACACUGAGGAACGAAAGCGUGGGGAGCAAACAGG
rnacentral:rRNA from 1 species